rnacentral:rRNA from 1 species
UCAUCGUCGAGAGGGUAACAGCCCAGACUACCAACUAAGGUCCCCAAGCGUGUGCUAAGUGGGAAAGGAUGUGGAGUUGCACAGACAACCAGGAGGUUGGCUUAGAAGCAGCCACCCUUGAAAGAGUGCGUAAUAGCUCACUGAUCGAGCGCUCUUGCGCCGAAGAUGAACGGGGCUAAGCGAUCUGCCGAAGCUGUGGGAUGUAAAAAAGAAUCGGUAGGGGAGCGUUCCGCCUUAGAGGGAAGGACCCGCGCGAGCAGUGCUGGACGAAGCGGAA